rnacentral:tRNA from 1 species
UGGCUCAGAAGGUAAAGCAUCUGCCUACAAUGCAGGAGACCCAGGUUCAAUCCCUGG